AGAGUUUGAUCCUGGCUCAGGAUGAACGCUGGCGGCGUGCCUAAUACAUGCAAGUCGAACGGUACUCUUUCGGGAGUACAGUGGCGAACGGGUGAGUAAUACAUAAGGAACCUGCCCUCGGGACCGGGAUAGCUGAUGGAAACGUCAGGUAAUAGCGGAUGUGAGUCAUUAUGGCAUCAUGAUGACUUGAAAGGAUGCAGCAAUGCAUCGCGCGGGGAUGGCCUUAUGGCGCAUUAGCCAGUUGGCGGGGUAACGGCCCACCAAAGCGAUGAUGCGUAGCCGAUCUGAGAGGACGACCGGCCACAUUGGGACUGAGACACGGCCCAGACUCCUACGGGAGGCAGCAGUAGGGAAUUUUCGGCAAUGGGCGCAAGCCUGACCGAGCAACGCCGCGUGAGUGUUAAGGCCUUCGGGUUGUAAAGCUCUGUUGCCGGGGACGAACGGUACUUAUAGGAAAUGAUAAGUAAGUGACGGUACCCGGCGAGAAAGCCACGGCUAACUACGUGCCAGCAGCCGCGGUAAUACGUAGGUGGCGAGCGUUAUCCGGAUUUAUUGGGCGUAAAGGGUGCGUAGGCGGCGAAUUAAGUCUAAAUUGAAAGCGUGGGGCUCAACUCCAUGAUGGUUUAGAAACUGGUUUGCUGGAGUGCAGGAGAGGUUAGCGGAAUUCCAUGUGUAGCGGUAAAAUGCGUAGAUAUAUGGAGGAACACCAGUGGCGAAGGCGGCUAACUGGCCUGUAACUGACGCUGAGGCACGAAAGCGUGGGGAGCGAAUAGGAUUAGAUACCCUAGUAGUCCACGCUGUAAACGAUGGAUACUAAGUGUUGGGGUGACCCAGUGCUGUAGUUAACGCAGUAAGUAUCCCGCCUGGGGAGUAUGCACGCAAGUGUGAAACUCAAAGGAGUUGACGGGGACCCGCACAAGCGGUGGAUUAUGUGGUUCAAUUCGACGCAACGCGAAGAACCUUACCAAGCCUUGACAUGUAAGAUAAAGGCUCUAGAGAUAGAGAGAUAGUUAUAUUUUACACAGGUGGUGCAUGGUUGUCGUCAGCUCGUGUCGUGAGAUGUUGGGUUAAGUCCCGCAACGAGCGCAACCCUUGUUGAUAGUUGCUAACAGGUUAUGCUGAGAACUCUAUCAAGACUGCUGUUGAUAAAACGGAGGAAGGUGGGGACGAUGUCAAGUCAUCAUGGCCUUUAUGCUUAGGGCUACACACGUGCUACAAUGGUCGGUACAAAACGUCGCAAUCCCGUAAGGGGGAGCUAAUCGCAAAAACCGAUCUCAGUUCGGAUUGAAGUCUGCAACUCGACUUCAUGAAGUUGGAAUCGCUAGUAAUCGCGGAUCAGAACGCCGCGGUGAAUACGUUCCCGGGUCUUGUACACACCGCCCGUCACAUCACGAAAGUAGGUUGUACUAGAAGUAGGAGGGCUAACUCGCAAGAGAGGCAUCUUACCACGGUAUGAUUUAUGAUUGGGGUGAAGUCGUAACAAGGUAACCA
rnacentral:rRNA from 1 species